AGCAGCCAGAGAGGCAGGAGCUCCUGAGGCUAACAGCAAGUACUGCUCGAGCGAAGAUAACUGAGGAAGCAAAAUCCAAUGAUAAAGUAAAGGUGUUCCUGAUGUCCAAAAAGGAAAGGAAAAAAGAACGAUCAUGGUAAUUACUGUGCUAUGGCUUGAUCCUAGACUGCAUCUGCAACCAGCACAACUUGGAAGAUGUGAAUGCAUAGGCAGCAGUUCCAUUUCUAGUUGGGUUGGAGGUCUGAUGCCGCAGACCAGCAGAGGAUGGUCCCCCAGAGCCAUGUUUCUCAACCUUUUAAGUAGCAAGUACCCUCUAACUUCUGAAAAUUUUAAUAAGUACCCCAACACACAAUUUUCCAGGGGAUUUUAUACUUGCAGACUAAUGUGUGCCAUAUGUUGGAAGAAGGGUUGUGUAUAUAAGACUGUGCUAUGACAGAUGUCUGCUCUGGUGUGGGUAGGGUUGCCAUCUUUUACACCAGGGUGCACAACUCAUGUAUGUACCUGGGCUAGAGCUGAUGUUGGCCAAAGGCAGAAGGGCUGAACCCAGUGCCACACAAAGGGUGACACGCCAAAUUAUUACUGGGGAAUUUAAAGCACUGCGCAAUGCACGGUGCACCAAAUUUUUUGCCAUGGUUUUGAGAGGAAAAGAGGGCAGGAGAGAGAGGAAAAGAGGUGAGAGAAAGUGUUGGGGUACCUGUAUACCACCUACCUGUCUCACGUACCCCCAGGGGUACGCAUACCACAGGUUGAGAAACUAUGCCCCAGAGGACAGCUGAACAGAAUGAAGACUCUGGAAGAGCCUCCAGAAAGAUGUCCCUCUCCAGAGCUCUGCCUCUUUGUAUACAUGGAGCCCAUGCAAUGAAAGGCAGAACCAGAGGGACUGAAAAUGUAGUGAUUCAUGUUCACCCUGGUAAUCUUCAGGUAUGACAGUUCCUGCUCAGUGGGAAGCCAGUGAAAACAAAUAUAGAUAAGUUAAAAAGAAACGUACCUAUUUAGCCACUGUCAAUCUUUUUUCUUGUUAAUUCUCUUUUGUGCAUAGUUUGUUUGAUCGUUUCCACUAUCACAUAUGGCCAACUGGAAUCCACUGGCAACAAACCCCUCUGCUGAAUUGUCAUUUAUAUUGAACAACGCUUAUGCUGUUGAGAACUUCAAAAUGAACUGUUGCUACCACAGCUGUAAAACUGUGGGGUCCUAAGAAGUGGCAAUAGGCAAUGGACCAAAUUCUGCCCAUGAGCAGCACCAUCAGAUCUCUUGGGCUCAACAUUAAUAAGGUUAACUUCCAUGAAAUCACUGGAGCUAAAGGGGGGAUGAAUUUGGCUCAUUUGAAUACAGCUAUGUCAGUUGUUUUGGAAUAAUUAUUUCUACAUAAUCCUUGGGCAGUUACUAAUAAUUUGGAAAGAAAGGUAAGAGACAAAUGGCCCUGGUGGGCUGAGGCACUAGUCUCAUUUGCCUAAUGGUGGUAUAUGGACAACAAAACAAGUGAGGAUUAUACAGCCAUCAUUCACUUACUCCCUUGAAUUUAAAGCAUGAAGGUCAGGAAGAAAAGGAGGACAAUGGGAUGUGCAACUUAUUGGUUAAAAACUCCUGCCAGCCAAUGGAGAAGAGUACAGGUAAUAAACCAAAACGUUCUGGCUGCAAUUACAAAAAUCAAUCAGGAAAUUCAAAUGGCUCCAGAUACACAUCGGCUCCAAUAUUCCACAAGGGAAAGAACGACUUGAUGAUUCAUGAGUGCUUCUAAGUUUUAUUACCAACAGAGACAUAUUAUUGAGCUAUCCAAACACAUUUCAGGUAUAGAUAUGAACACAGGCAUUGCAAACAUAUGCAAGCUUCUGCACUGUGCCUCUGCAGUUAUAUACAGUUGCUGCCUUCUGAACUAAUAACAACCCAAGCCCAGACUAAGUGUCUUUUUGUCUUGGUUAUAUUAUGCCUCUAGCCCUAUAGGGGUCCAGUUAAUUUACAUAUAAUUCCACUAGGGUUGAUAACACUUGCCAUUUUAAGAACUUUUUUAACAAUGUAGAACUUUGCCAGAGUUUAAGCAUUCAGGCUGUAACGUCCUGUGCCUCUAACAGAAUUAUUUUGGAACAUUUUAGUCAGAUGGUUCAGCUGUUUCCAAAACUAAAACUAAGAAACCUGCAUUGUUCUGCAGUGUCCUGGGACCUUUGCUUCAUGAAGCACAGGCUUCUGAGCAAGGACACAAAAUCUGGAAAUGUGAUCUUGGUGGUCUUUUGCUGUUCCUGGGAACACCUAUUCAAAUUGGGCCAAGAUAAAAACUACAGUUUACACAUAAUCAGUGGAGACUCAUUAGAGAUUCACAGCUAAAAUCUCCAAAUACCUUGUGUGCUUUGAGCAUACUCCAGCCACUUGGAGAUCCUAGAUGGGGCUGGAUUAUAUUAAAUAAACCUUGACUGAAAGGUCAC